UGGAGUUUCUGCUCUGUUCUGUUAUCCUUUCUGUCAAAUUUCCAGAUUUUAAAACAUCUUGACAAGCAGUAUCAUCAGGAUCAGGUUCUUCACCAUGCUUCCCAUCGAUGACCAAAUCCUGUUUGACAAUAGCAUUUGAGGAAUCAGCAGGGUCAGGUUCAUACUUCAAGACUGUGACGCUGUUUGUCAGUUCACUAUCCACUUCCAUCUUGUUUCCAGAUUCCGGAACAACUUCAUUAGUACUAUCAUCAGGAUCAGGUUUGCUAUGGGGUCUUCCAUC
rnacentral:lncRNA from 1 species